AAGACCCACGGAGAGAGCCGAGAGCCCCGGUGCCUGCUGGGAAAUAACAACUUCGACAAUCCGCCAUCUUUCCUAGUUUCGAGUUAUUAAGAAUAAAGAUGCGCAGAUAAAUGUGAUUCGGAAUAAAAAAGAUCCGUCAGAGCGAAUUUUCUGGGUUCGGUUGCGUAAGAAGGGAGUUUGCGGAGCAGCAGAAGUUCCGGAGGCCCUGGUUCGGAGCAGAAAUCAGCGCUAAAACAGGAGCGGACCGUCAUGGGCCGAUCACGGAGCCGCAGCUCGUCCCGGUCCAAACACUCCAAAAGCAGCAAGCACAGCAAGAAACGGAGCCGGUCUCGGUCCCGAUCCAGGGACAGGGAGAGGUCUAAGAAGCGAUCCAAGUCCCGGGAGUCUAAGAGGAACCGGCGCAGAGAGUCCCGCUCCCGGUCCCGGUCUACCACAGCCUCGUCCCGCAGAGAGCGAGCAGCGUCUCCCCCGGAGCGCAUCGACAUCUUCGGCCGGACGCUGAGCAAGAGAACCGCGCUGGACGAGAAGCAGAGGAAGGAGGAAGAGGAGCGGCGGGCAGAGAUGGAGAGACAGAGGAAGAUCCGGCAGCAGGAGAUUGAGGAGAAGCUAAUCGAGGAGGAGACAGCACGACGAGUGGAGGAGCUGGUGGCCAAGCGGGUGGAGGAGGAGCUGGAGAAGCGUAAAGACGAGAUUGAGCGGGAGGUGCUGCGGCGCGUGGAGGAGGCCAAGCGGAUUAUGGAACGCCAGCUGCUGGAGGAGCUGGAGAGGCAGCGGCAGGCCGAGCUGGCAGCGCAGAAAGCCAGAGAGGUAACGCUCGGUCGUUUGGAAUGCAGCCCCUUUCCUCCUCUCCUCCCCUCACCUGCCCUGUCUCCUGCUCUCACCUCCUCAGCUAUGACGUGUCUCACGUCAGAAACGCGUUUAUUAGUGCUGAUCAGCUGUUUGUGGAAUGUCGAAGAACAACAGGAACAUUCUGUAGAACGUCUGAGUACUAGGCUGGAGAAAAAAAAGCAUUUUAUCCACGUGAACUCCGGGUCUUUUCCCAGAAUCUUUCAGAAUUCCAGCAGUGAAGCCGGAAGUGUUUGGUUUUCCAACAGCUCCAAGCAAAGCAGGGUCCAGCAGGUUUCCUUCUGGGACUGACAGAAAUCCAGAUAUUCCUGCUUCAAGCAGCAGCGGAUAAAUUAACAGACUACAUCAGGCUGCUUGUGUCAUCGUUCAGAUUGGGAUUAGGAUUGGGAUUGGGUUAGGCUAGAGACGCUGACUUGUGAUUGGCUCGACCCAAAUGUAGCUCCUUCCUGUCUUCGUCUCUCUGACCCAGACUUGUCUCUUCACUACUUCAGGUUCAGGCCACUUCCUGUCUUAUUCUUUCAGAAUAAGAGCUUCUGUGUUAAUCACGUGUUUACUUCACAGACGGGCGCCCCGGCAGCUUUUAACGUGUCUUUUUAAGAACCUCCUGUUGGAUGUGACUGAAGCUGGAGCAGCCUGACCUCUGACCUGUGUCUGAUGAUGAUUCUGAUUAUUUUCCCACAUGUGUGAUGUUCUGUGUGCUGACCUGCUUCUCCCUCAGGGCGGCGGCUCUGUCUCAUUUGUUGUUUUUAAUUAUUUUGUUGUUUUUGGACACACACCUCCCUAACUAGCUCUUGACCUGAGCUGACCUGCAGGCGUUCAGCUCACCUGUGACUUGUGUCCUGUACUGUAAGUGUGCCAUGGCCAGGCCCUGCUGCAACACACACACACACACACACACACACACACACACACACACACACACACACACGCACGCGCACACACACACACACCGAACCACUGCAGAGACGAGGAAAAACAAAAUGUAAACAGUCAGCAGAGCCCCUGCCCCGCUCCCACCCCAGGAGGGGCUGCAGUCUGGAGCCGACAGUAAAUAUUCAACCGUUUAACGCUGAAUGAUUUCAGUAGGUUCACACAAAAGGAAAGUGCGUAGGUAUCCGUGCAUCGGUGAGCCAAAACUCUUCCCUCCUUCUUCAUCUUCUUUUCUUGUUUAUAAAGAAGCAGCAGAUGUUUCCUUUAGCCUGUGUGUCACGUACCUGGCCUGUGUGAGUGAUGAGUGGGCGGAGUGUAUGACCACCUUAACCAGAGCAGGUGUAGCAGAGGGAGGCCCUCAUGUCUGCAGAUUCUUUCUGUUUGUGUAAAACUACUCAGGCACAGAGAGGCUGAAUGGGAUGUGUGUGUAUGUGUGUGUGUGUGUGUGUGUGUGUGUGCGUGUGUGUGUGUGCAUGUGUGUGUGCGUGCGUGCUCUGUGGUGCUAGCAUGUUUCUAUGAUAACAUGUCACCGUGUCAUCCGUGUAGGAGGAAGAAAAAUCUAAGCGAGAGGAGCUGGAAAAAAUCUUGGAGGAGAAUAACCGCAAGAUCGCCGAAGCUCAGGCUAAGCUGGCUGAGGAGCAGCUACGGAUUGUGGAGGAGCAGAGAAAGAUCCAUGAGGAGCGCAUGAAGCUGGAGCAGGACCGUCAGAGGCAGCAGAAGGAGGAGCAGAAAAUCAUCCUGGGUCGGGGAAAGUCCAGACCCAAGCUCUCCUUCUCCCUGAAGGCCACUGAAUGAG